rnacentral:rRNA from 1 species
UGGGGAAUUUUGGACAAUGGGGGAAACCCUGAUCAAGCCAUCCCGCGUGUGCGAUGAAGGCCUUCGGGUUGUAAAGCACUUUUGGCAGGAAAGAAACGUCAUGGGUUAAUACCCCGUGAAACUGACGGUACCUGCAGAAUAAGCACCGGCUAACUACGUGCCAGCAGCCGCGGUAAUACGUAGGGUGCAAGCGUUAAUCGGAAUUACUGGGCGUAACGCGUGCGCAGGCGGUUCGGAAAGAAAGAUGUGAAAUCCCAGAGCUCAACUUUGGAACUGCAUUUUUAACUACCGGGCUAGAGUGUGUCAGAGGGGGGAGGAAUUCCGCGUGUAGCAGUGAAAUGCGUAGAUAUGCGGAGGAACACCGAUGGAGAAGGCAGCCGCCUGGGAUAACACUGACGCUCAUGCACGAAAGCGUGGGGAGCAAACAGG